UUUCAUUCAGAAACGCAUCUUCUGGACCUAUUUCAAGAUGUCAUCGAUUCAAGUACUCGGAUGGAACUAUGCCAAAGAUGCAUUUCACGUGUAUUAUGCCGGAAGUAAAAUGCACGGCGCCUCGUGUAUGACAUUUCAAGCUUUGCACGAUGGUUAUGCCAAAGACGCUUGGAAUGUGUAUUAUAUGGGUCAGAGAAUGGAAGGUGUGUCGACGUUGUCAUUUCAAACGUUAGGCCAAGGAAUGGCGAAAGAUGCGUUCAACAGUUACUUUUGUGGUAAUAAAAUAGAACGUUGAUCAACGCGAACGUUUUUUAUGUUUCAUGUUUGCGUACAACAUACUGAAGUGUGCAACGAUGGGAAGCUUUUAAAUAAAGUUUUUCUACAGUUAAUAAA